rnacentral:lncRNA from 1 species
UUUAAUAUUGGCAUUUAGAAAAGUUUAGCACAUGAAACAAUUUUGAAUUAUUUUCAUAAUAUCAUUCCAUCUCUAUAUUUAAAGUAGAUGAACAAAAGUAAUAUAUAUGUAACAAACCUGCACAUUGUGCACAUGUACCCUAAAACUUAAAGUAUAAUAAUAAUAAAAUUUUAAAAAAACUCAUCAUGGUACACAAGGUGCUUGAAAAUUCAACCCUAACUUCUCUGACCUACACCCUACCCGCUACAUUGGCUUGACUCCUAGGAAACAUGCUCAUUCACUACAGAGAAUCCAGCCAGCCCUGGAUCCUGCCACAUGCUUUCAAAUUAUUUUUAUAUCUUUUUAUGCCCAUAAAAUCUUUGGGUGAAACUUAUUUUCUCCCAUUGAAAGUAUAGUUAUCUACCUAUAGCUAUAGAGAGAUAUAGACAGAUAACUAUCUAUCUAUCUAUAAAUAGCUAUCUAUAGAUAGUUACCUACCUAUAUCCAUAGGUACUAUCUAUAGUUAUCUAUCUAUCUAUAUCGAUAGAUAACUGUCAAUCUAUCAAUCAAUCAAUCAUCUAUCUAUCUAAACAAUUGAAAGUACUCAAUGGCAUGGGCAUUUGGUCCAGUGAUUUUCCUUUUUGGUAAAAAAUAACAGGAAAUAAAACAAACGUAGGACCCAUUCUCAUCCAGAAGGCCACUGUGUAAAACAGAUGAAUGCUGAACUGCCCUGGUAAGCAAGGAUGGGGAUUUGGGACCUGUCUAAUUCCCUGUCUCUGAAACCUCACUCUAGAAGCCCCUCAAUGCCACAUGCCACAGAUGAAAACCACCCACCAAGUUCUAUCAUUGCCUCCAGAAGUAAGGGACUAGCCCCAAAUGAGAGGCCUACUCAUAUAACAGCCAUUCCAUCCCAUCUGCAUAGUUUCCAAUUUAAAAACCUUGAAAAUAAAAAAUUAAAGCAUUAAUCUCCCUUCUUCAGUAACUUGUUUUAUGAAUAUAUAGGCACAGGAUGGGGACGUGGCAGG